GGGGCUGUAGCUCACUGGCAGAGCACUCGCUUAGCAUGUGUGAGGCACUGGGUUCAAUCCUCAGCACUACA
rnacentral:tRNA from 1 species